UAUCAAGCCUUAACCUGCUGUAGACCAAAUCCGAAAAUCUGGAACAUACAUGAUUGAACUCUACUACUUGGGCAUGUACAACCAUUUCCAAUCAUUUUUGAAAAUGUAAGGCACAAGCCAUGUUGAACCAUUAGCAGAACAUCAAUUAGCGCAAGCUGCAAAACAUGUCGAAACCUAUAAAAUUUGGGCUAAGUGGUACCUAAAGCCUUUGGUCAAAAACGAAUCCAACAGCCCAUACCUUUAUUGUCUAUUUUCCAAGAAUUAUUACAUAAACCAACCCAAACUUAGGGUCCUAAACAACUAACUUAACUAGUCAUGUUCUAAAAUAAGUAAAUGAAUUCAUUGAGCCGUUAUCAUAAAUGGCAUGUGCAAAUAGGAGAAAACGGGCAUAUCAUCAUGAAUCGAUGGCCCUAUGCUUAUUGAUCGGCUUGGCUCCACUCCAAGUGUCUGCAGAAGUUAUCAACCAUGCCACAGGUUCUUCCAAAAGAUUCUGCAUAAGGUGCUUGUCACACCAGUCUCAUCACCAAUAUGCAAAUGGCCAACAUUCUGCAGACUCAAACAUUGCACAAUGAACCACACCAACUUCAACAUCCGCAGAGCAUUCUCCACGUCAAACUACAACGACUUUGACGCUUCAGGUCACAUGUCGUCACAAAAACGAGCCACACAUCCGAGAUCCUACAGAAAUGAAUAAAUAUGAUUGACAAGUAACCAAUGCAAUUGGAAAAUAUGGUCAACUAAUAUUCAGAGCAAAAUAGAUGUUAAUCAUGUUUUUAUAUGUUCACACCCCCAAGCAGCAAGGAUCAAUGCAACAAUUCAAGUUAAAACGUUAAAUCCUCAUAUCAGUAAAAACUAGAAUAGCCUUGACUAAAGGUUAAAUUUUACGUAAAGGUAAAAAUUAGACUCCUACCACAAUGAAUACUUGUUUUUACAGCAGUAGAAAGUCUGUGAAGAGGUUUUAAUAAAUAGCCACGCACCUUUUGGGGAAGACACCAUAAAAACAAUCCCGUCUUACCACUUCCUGUUGGGACCACACUAAAUCUGUGAAAGAUUUGUUCAUAGCGAUUUGAUGCUGGGAUCUAUUUGCCAGCUCACGAAAGAUAAGGACGUAUAAACCUCAUACGGGAACUCUAUAAAAGGGACCUCAAGU
rnacentral:lncRNA from 1 species